GGAGGAAAGUAGGGGAUCGCAAGACCUUGCGCUUUUAGAGCGGCCGAUGUCUGAUUAGCUAGUUGGUGAGGUAAAGGCUUACCAAGGCGUCGAUCAGUAGCUGGUCUGAGAGGACGACCAGCCACACUGGGACUGAGACACGGCCCAGACUCCUACGGGAGGCAGCAGUGGGGAAUUUUGGACAAUGGGGGAAACCCUGAUCCAGCCAUGCCGCGUGAGUGAAGAAGGCCUUCGGGUUGUAAAGCUCUUUCAGCCGGAACGAAACGGUCACGGCUAAUACCUGUGACCACUGACGGUACCGGAAGAAGAAGCACCGGCUAACUACGUGCCAGCAGCCGCGGUAAUACGUAGGGUGCAAGCGUUAAUCGGAAUUACUGGGCGUAAAGCGUGCGCAGGCGGUUUUGUAAGUCAGAUGUGAAAUCCCCGGGCUUAACCUGGGAACUGCGUUUGAAACUACAAAGCUAG
rnacentral:rRNA from 1 species